AUAUAGGCCCCAAAAGUUGAAAUACUUACCAAAUUACACAAAGAGAACCGCUGGGAUGAAUUUAAAUAUUAAGGGCAAACGAUCAAUUCACUUUGACCCCAAGCUUCUCCAUUCCCUCUUAUUUUUAAUAGUAGAAAAGAAAAGAAUAUAUAUAGUAAUAGUAAAGUAAUAGUAUAGACGCAUGUUUUGCGCUUUCAGAAAUUGAAGGCACUGCCAUUGUGCUGUCAUUCUCAAAUGGUCCUUCCUUUUAAUAGCUUUUUGGACUCUACUAACGGCCGUCACUAAAAGUCCAUUUAAUUCGUGUCCUAAAAGCAUCGUUAAUCGGUGUACGGUUAGUCGCAUAGGGAAAAUUGUUCAUUUAAUUUGAUUCGCAGUCGAGCUAGAAAGGAAUUAAAAAACGCGUGGGGCCACCUGGGCCCAGAUCAUCGCUACAGCGAGGGUUGGACCGUUGCAGCGAGUCCGCCCCAGUGAUGAUCUACUCGCUACAACAACCAUCUCAAAACUUGCGAGCUCACCCCAGUGGAUCCCUGGCGGAGGAGCUUUGUUCCUAGAAGUACGCCCUUGCGGAUGUUUUCCCACAAUAGCGUGUCCGCCACAACGGACAUCGCAGAGCAAACCUGGUAUUUAAGUCCCAUUUCGGGAUAUUUGACCUCAUUUUUCUUAAACCCUUACAUCUCAGCCGCCAUUUGGGACAUUUUGGGAGAAAAUCUCAUGAAUGCUUGGAAAAGACCCUUUGUCGGGAAUCAUGGUUCGAGAACGAGAAGAUGAAGACAAAUGGAUGUUUGUGACACCUGUUUGGCCUCGAGGUAGGUUAUGGCUUACUUGAGUAGACUUCAAUUAGUAUCUCAUAUAUGCACAAUAGAAAGUAAUGAAGAAAGCAUGUCUAGGUCUUCGGACAAGAAGUUGGGUUGGUUAAUUCUAGGUUGGUACUGUUAUGUGUGUUGUUGCAAAAUUAUUCCUAUUGGUCACCUUGCUAGCUAUGAGUGUUGUCGGUAUGAAUGAGUUAAGUUCUUUCUGUGGGUUAUGUACGGUCUUGGAUUUUAUUUACCUUUUGGUUAGACUUCGGUUAGCGAAUCUUCUGUAGAAUUAGUGAUUAUUGGAGAAAGCAUGUAAACCUUUGGGUAUGGA